CCGUGGGAGCCCCGCCCCUCCCCGCUGGCUGGCCUGGCCCGCCGCACGAACCCACUCGACAGGGCCCUUGCCAGGUGCGGGGCCGGGGGCGCCCUCACUGACGACUCCCUUUCUCUCCCUCACGGUACAUGGGGGACCCCAAGAGACCAGCCUCAGCCUCUACUUGUUGGGAAAAGGACCGGAACCCUGCAGACCAGGGAGGUGGUCCUUCCAGUCGUGGAGCUGUCGGCAGAGCUCAGACCUACUCAGACUUGUGGUAGAAGGACAUGCUGGGUGGAAUUGGAGCUCAAGCCAUCUCCCCGAGUCAAGAGUCUCUAGACCAGCUCCGUAGGGCCCAUGCCCUGAUUCCCAUCCUCUCCCUGAGCCUCUCUAGGAGCUGGGUUUGUGGGAACAGAAGAACCUCGUCUUAGGAAGACUCAGCAAGGGGCAGUGAUUUGCCACACAAGUGUAACCUCUUUUUCCUUGGUGACUGGAAGGUUCACCCUUGUGCCCUGUCCUGUGGAGACAAUCCCAUCUUAGGCUUCCCCCUCCAUCAAGUUUAUUAGUAUUUAUAUAAAAUUGCCAUUCACACAACAGAUAUUAUGGAAGAGUUGAUUCAGGGGAAGAGAAGCAGAAGAGAGUUAGGGCCUAAGUGGGCCAUGAGGGCAGAGAGACAGAGAUGUGGGGAGGGGCACCCCAACAGGAAAUGGGAGAAAGCAAGAGAAGAGAGAGAAGAGGCAGGUGGGGGGGGGCUGGCAUCAGCGACCAAUGAUGACAGUACAGGUGGCUAAGUAACCUAGGAGUGGGCUAGUGCAUGGACUUGUGAACUAACAAGGCUGAUAGCCCAGGACAAGGCCCCUUAACCUGCACCUGCAGGACUCUCUGCUAAUGAAGAUAGGGGGUGAGGGGCUGUUUCCUGAUGGCAGCUGCUGGCCAAGCAUGACUCAGCAGCCCAAUGGCCUGAGAGCUUAAAGCCUGAAGCAGGCCAAACCUCCUAUGGGACAUCUGAGCCAAUGGGAAACCACCAGGAACUCCUUUGCUUUUUCACCGGUGGGAGAAAGAGAAAUGUCAGGAAAUGGGGCCCUGGGGGAAGCUGGCGUAGAGACGCCUGCCUCAGGGAGAAGCCCUGAGUUCCAGGCCAGGCCAGCAUGCCCUGCUGCCUAGAGCAGCUCAGGCUGUCUUCCCAGUUCCCCGGGCCAGCCAGGGAGGUAAACAAGGCUGCGGUGGCUGGGGAACCCCCUGGCAGGGCCCUCUGUGGUCAGGUGGCCUGGGCCGGCUGUGAGUCAGAGUCCCAUGAUCCGGGUCAUAACGGGAGAUCCCAAGCUGCCGCCAUUCAUUCCAUUGCCGCCAGCAGGCAGGAUGGAGAAGGGUCUUGGAGGCGGGUGUGUGUGUGUGUCUGUCUGUGUAUGUGUGUCUGUCUCUGUUUGUAGGACCCUACAGCAAAGUGAGCUAUCAGAGGACAAGGUACUAAAAUAAACGAGACCAUGAACUUGCCAAUGCCUUGUCACCCCUCACCCUCUGAAGCACAGAAUGAAGGGAAGGGGAAAGCUUGGUAGCUGAAUCCAGGGAUAGUACUUUUGACCAUCAUUGGGCAGGGGCCUAGCCUCAUCUUUGAAAUGGGUCAGGAGUGGGAGGGCCUGAGCUGCCCCUUCCUGGGUUAUUCCCCACAGGUGAGCUAAUUAUCUGUUGUCCCUCGGGAGUGUAGGCUGUCAGUGAAAUCAGUGAGGAGGUCUUAAACAGGUUGAGGUGGACGAGUGGGAAAUGCAGAAGAGACCUAAGCCAUGGGGUGGGCUCUGUGAGAAGAGUGACCCAGGACCUCUGCUGUCUGUCUGCUUGGCUACCUCCAAGGCUUGGCAGUGGUUUUCUCCGGUUGGAUUCAUUUGUUAGGUCUCAGGUAAUCCAUAUGUCUAGAAAUAAGCUCAGGCUGGACUGCAGAAGGAUUUCUGGUGGUUAGAUAAAAGCCAGUAUUCCUCAGGACCUUAUGAAAUGGGUUUUCAUCCACAAAAGGGCCUGUUUCUUUGUCUCUGGCCAAAGGGACAUGGCUUUCCAUUGACAUAUACCUGUAGUUGAAUAUUAAAGCUGGCCUCCAGGGUCCUUCAGGACUUAUUACACAUUUUCAAGCCCCCAUCCUGGCCCUGCUCACCUACCCAGCCCCCCUCUUACCCAGUACCUGUUUGUGGUCUAUAUAGCAGCAAGUUUUUCCCCCUGCCUACCUACCCCCAUAUCUCUGGCUACCUCCACUAUUCUUGCCUGCUUCCCUAGCCCUGGCCAUGUCCAGUCUACUUCUGUUUCUCUCUCCCCUGGGCUCUCCCAGAUGCCUCUGGAUGGUUUUUCUCCCUUAUUUACAACGAAAACCUUCCCCCUAAUAAUGGAACAGUCAUGUGAUGGUUUCUUUACCACACCACCUAGCAUGUGGCUAUCUUUCAGAUUGUGGAGUCAGGAGCCCAGAUGAGCACUGGUCAGCUGGAGCCAAGGCCACUGAGGACUCAGGCCGAGAUGUGGAGGCAUUUUUAAAGAGACUGAGGGUCUCAGGGGCAGGGCUGCUGUAGAUCCCUGCCCUCUCUAGGUCCAGUGAGAUGAGUUCCUGUGAGAGAAUGCCAACCUAUGGCUGGGGUGCGUGGGCUAGGGCAGCCACUGGAGUCCACUCAGUCCCCAAGUUCCCAGAUCUGCCUGACUGGUUCUGCCUGGUACUUCCCCCCCCACCCCCGGGCUCUAACCCCUGUCUUACCCUUUCCUCCCCCAUCUCAGGCAGUUUCCCUCCCUCCGUGUUAUUUCCUGAGGAGCGCCUUCCCUGGCCGCCCCUAGGAAACACCUCCAAGUACUGGACAUCAUUUUGCUUAUGGCUGUCUGGCAUUCUGUCACCUCCUCAGGUUCCUCCAUGGCUUCCCAAUACCUUCCUCAUCCUCUGUGGUGUGGAGUCAGGAGUCUCGCUGGGUGCUGUCCAGCCUCCGGCAUUUUUUGGUAGUGUCAGGGAUAAAUCCUGGGGCCUCUCCUCAAGCACAUUAGGCAAGCACUCUGCAUCCCUACCCUCUUUUAGUCCUUUUUACAGAAGCACAAACGUGAGGUGUCUGCCUCUGUGGCAUGAAGGGGACCCGUCCCAAAGGCCCUGAAGAUUAUUCUAAAAGAAAAACAGGGCAACGGAAUCUAGGGACCCUCCAACCCCUUUGGAGUUGAACCACCAUGUGGGAUGAAAGAGGGCCACAGGGCUGGGUUCCGACUCUAGAAUGAGUCCACACUCAUGGGGCAGGGGACUGGGGAACAGGGGGCACAAUACACAGGGGUGAUGGAGAAACUGUCAGAGAUACCCAGAGGGGAAAAGGGAGGCAGAUGCAAAGCUGGGCACCCCAGGUUGACAGAAAACUCCCUUUGGGGCACGGACACAGGAGAACUUGCCGGUCUUGGGAGACACCCCAAAAAGGGCAGAGGAGUAGCCCUGGCAGGAGGCCUGUAGGUUACCUGGGGAAGGCCGUUCUCCACUUGUCCCCAAGUGUGUGUGCUUGGGCACAGCACUGGGAAGGCUCUUUCCUGACUGGAAAUGCCGGGAGACAUUUGCCAAAUUUCCCUUUGCCCACCUGUCUUUCAAGCUAUUUCUGUCUCCUUUCCCGGUGUUGAAGUGGACUCUGUCCCUGACCUUCUCCUGGACGCUGCACCCUUAGGUACAGGGUUGGAGGCUCAGAAAAGUGUAAAUGGGGAUCUGACGACCUCAUCCUUUUUCUAACUCCACCCCUUAACUUACCCAUGUGAUUGAGGCCCCCAAAGCUGGAGGAGCCUCAUGUUGAGAAAGAUUCUGGAAAGAUAAAGGCAGAGCUGGGUUGAAGGAGCUAUGAGAAGAUCAGAAACCCGCUCAAAACCCGCUCAGUGAAAACCAUUCAAUGAGAGAUAGGGGAUGGGCAGCUAAGGCUGGGAGAGCAGACAGUGUCUCCAUAUGGGGAGUCUCUGCCAGGAUGCCCCUAGCCAGGGCAGCACUGCCCUCUGAGGACUUGAGCUACACCCCAAGUUCUGUGUACCACCUGCUCUCCUGAGCCCCAACUCUCCCCAGGCCAGCUCCUUUCUCCCUAUUUGCCCUCCAGGGAUGCUAAACCCCUCCAUACUUUCCUGUGGGCACCUCACUCUAAUUGUGGGCACCCCUUUGCUUGACUAACGUUCCCAAGCAGGCAGGUAGGGGGACCUAUGCAUUUGUGAACUGCCUGGGUGUUUAGCUAAUGUUAGUCCAACUAAAUACUAAAUGCAAGCUGCAGUUAGGUAUCAUGGUGCUGUCUUCCCAGCUGCUCAUGAGGAUGGGGCACGAGGACCACUGUCUCAGGGCCUGAGGAAAAUCCAUUCUCAAAAUUAAAAAGUAAAUGAACAGGCUUGGCUUGGUGACACAUGCCUUUAAUCCCAGAACUAGGGAAGGCAGAGGUAGGUAAUAUCUGGGAGUUCGAGGCCAGCCAGGCCCACAAAGCAAGUCCAGAACAGCCAGAGCUACACAGAAACACUGACUCAAAAACAGCAACAACAACAAAAAAGUAAAUAAACAGAAGUCUUGGGGUAUAAUUCAAUGGUAGAAUAUUUGCCUAGCAUACCGGAGGCUCUGGAUCCAGUCCCCAGUAACACCACACACACACACACACACACACACACACACACACACACACACACACAAACACGUAAAAUUAUAGAAGGUCUCAUGGCCACUAUUUUAGAUCAGGCCUAGUAGACCAGACUAAAAGUCAAAAUGGAAUCAGCUCCCUGUAGAGGGUCAGAAAACAACUUUUGGGAGCCAGUUUUCUCCUAGUGUGUGGGUCUCUUGGGUGUACAGCUCAGGUCAUCAGGCUUGGGGCAAGUGUCUUUACACACUGAGCCAUCUCACCAGCAUUUUUUUUUUUUUUUAGAUGGAAUCUUUCAGGGCUGGAGCAAUGGCUCAGGAGUUAAGAGUACUGCCUGCUCUUCCAAAGGACCUGGGUUCAAUUCCCAGCAACCACAUGGCUUUUUGCAACUGUCUAUAAUCCAAUUCUAGGGGGAUGCAACUCCUUCACACAGAAUCAUGCAGGCCAAACACCAAAGCACAUAAAAUAAAAUACUUAAAUUGUAGAUAGAUAAAUGAUAGAUAGAUAGAUAGAUAGAUAGAUAGAUAGAUAGAUGGGAUCUUUCUGUACAGCCCUGGCUGGCCUGGGAUUACCAUGCAGACCAGGCUGGCCUCAAACUUUUAGUAAUCCUCCUGCUUCUGUUUCCUGAACGCUGGAGUUACAGGUGUGGAACACCUUAGCUGACUUGGAUCACUUGUAUCCAAGAGUUCUGAGCUGCCGUAUCCCCAGACCCCAUGUCUACACCACAGUUCCAGAGAAGGCCACUGUGAUAAUGGCUAGAAGCCUGUGGCCACACCCUGUCCCUCAAACCACCAGCAAUUUCUGUUGACUGUAAUUCCUAAUAGCAACAGUAAUCACUUCAUUUAUCUUUUAUGCUAGGAAACUGAGUGUUAUGUAUCUAUAAAAAUCCCUUAAUGUGAGACUGACCAUGUGAUUGGUUCCGGCCAAAGACCUGAGACAGUGAAAGCUACAGACCAGUGACAAGGCAGAUUUUUUGUUUUGUUUUGUUUUUUGUUUUUUUUCCUAAUGCUAAAGCUUCUAGAGCCAGGAGAGCCUAAUCCCGGUAGCUAACCCUGAGGCCUGGGCAAGAACUAAAGUGAGUAGAGCUGUCAGAGCCUUUGAUGGACACGAAGCUUUGAAGAGUAUACUUUCAUUAAAAAAUACCCUCACCCCAUUCCAGAUCAUCUUUUCCCUGGGACCUCUACCCUCCUAUAUCUACUUGAGAGGACUGUGAAAUUAAAGAAACAUUUAAUCACAUUUAUUUAUAUCUUUUUUUUGUUUUUCCAGACAGGGUUUCCCUAUGUAGCCCUGGCUGUCCUGGAACUCUCUGUAGACAGCCCCCAAACUCAGAGGGCUGUCUGCCUCUGCCUCCCAAGCGCUGGGAUUAAAGGCGAGCGCCACCACGGCCUGGCUCUUACCUAUUUUGUAUUUGUGUAGGUGUGCACACAUUUGUGCAUCAUGGUGUGAAUGUGGAGGUCAAAGGGCAACUUGCAGGAGUCAGCUGAGCUCCUCAGGCUUGGCCGAAAAUGACUGCACCCACUGAGCCAUCUCACUAGUCCUGGAGGUGGUGGUUGUUAAUUGUUUGAAGUGAGAGUGUUGGACUUUUCACGUGUGUGUGACAUCAUAGGCCUGUGAAUUAAGCCAGGUCUGUAAGCCCAGCAUGGGGAAGGCAGAGGUAAAGGAAUCCUGAGUUGGAGGCUGGUAUUAAGAACUUGACAACAACAAAACCCCAGAAAAAAAAUUUUUUAAUUAAAACCUGACAACGGACUGGCAAGAGAUUUUUAUCUACUUAUUGUAUUAGGCAGCUAGAGUCUUGGAGCUCAUUUUUUAAAAUAAUUAAUUUCUUUUUCAUUCACUUUACAUUUUUGUUGUAGCCCUAUCCCUGCUCCCCUCCCAGUCUCCUCCCCUCCCUUUCUUCUCUCCCUCCCCCCCCCCACUCCUCAGAAAAGGGCAGCUCCCUUUCCCAUCCACCCCAGCUCAUCAAGUUGCAUCAGGACUGAGCAUGUCCCCUUCCCCUGUGGCCUGGCAAGGCAGUCCCUCCAGGGGAAAGUGACCAGAAAGUUGGCAGUUGAGUCUGUGCCAGAUGCAGUCCCCACUUCCCUGGAGCUGGUGCAGGACUCGGCGAGAUGUGCCUGCCCUUGCCUCAUGAAUGCUGGCAUGGAAGGUAUCGGCUGCCAUGUUCAGCCCAAAUAUCAACUUAAUUUUUUUUUUUAUUUAAACUACACUUAGUGUUUGUGUGCACACAUGUGAGUUCAUACACCGCAGUGCACCUGUGGGGUCAGAGGACAACUUGUGGGAACCCAUUCUCACCCUCUACAAUGCGGUCCUUGGUGUCACCGGGCUUGGCAGGAGGUACCAUCACUCUUCCUGCCGCCUCCCCACUGUGUAUCAAUUUAAUGAGGGUGAAUUACAGGCAAAUAAAUGACUUCUAAGAAA